rnacentral:rRNA from 1 species
UACGGAGGGAGCUAGCGUUGUUCGGAAUACUGGGCGUAAAGCGUGCGUAGGCGGCUUAGCAAGUUGGGGGUGAAAUCCCGGAGCUUAACUCCGGAACUGCCUCCAAAACUGCUAAGCUAGAAUCCUGGAGAGGUGAGUGGAAUUCCUAGUGUAGAGGUGAAAUUCGUAGAUAUUAGGAAGAACACCAGUGGCGAAGGCGACUCACUGGACAGGUAUUGACGCUGAGGUACGAAAGCGUGGGGAGCGAACA